rnacentral:rRNA from 1 species
GAUGAACGCUGGCGGCGUGCCUAACACAUGCAAGUCGAGCGAAAAGACGCGAUGCUUGCCUCUCUGAUGUUAGCGGCGGACGUGAUAGUAACACGUGGAUAACCUACCUAUAAGUCUGGGAUAACUUCGUGAAAUCGGAGCUAAUACCGGAUAAUGAUGUGAACCGCAUGGUGCACAAGUGUAUUACGGCCUUGCCGUUUCUUAUAGAUGGAUUCGUGUUGCAUUAGCUAGUUGGUAAGGUAAAGGCCUACCAAGGCGACGAUGCAUAGCCGACCUGAGAGGGCGACCGGCCACACUGGAACUGAGACACGGCCCAGACUCCUACGGGAGGCAGCAGUAGGGAAUCUUGCACAAUGGGCGAAAGCCUGACGGAGCAACGCCGCGUGCGUGAUGAAGGUCUUCGGAUCGUAAAACUCUGUUAGUAGGGACGAACCGGUGUGUGAGUAACUGUGCAGAUCUUGACGGUACCUACAGAAAAAGCCACGGCUAACUACGUG